AAGAGCGCGCCAGCUCACUGCUCAAGGUGCUGCUAGCAUUCCAAACCAGCAAUCCGCUUAGAAGCGUUCAAAUUAAACAUUCUCUACACCGUGCAGCAGCUGAUUACAACAGUGCUCGCCGGCCGACUCGGACUUGCUUACCAGCACUCUCGAUGUUUCUUUGUUUUCUUCCAUCGCUCAGCGAGUGACUGACUCAAUCUGUCUUUCUCUCCUACGUUCGUGUUUUUUUUGUUUUGUUUGUUUAUAAAGUAUUUUUAUUUUUUAUUAUUUUUAAAAGAAGGACGCAAUUCUAUAUGACAGGAAGCUCCUGAAGCAGACAUGUGUACGAAGAGAGAUUACCGGCUUACGAUGCAUGCUGUGCUGUUGAUUCUGGGUUGCCUACAAACCUGGGUUUACGGUCAAGGCUUCAACUAUGAAGACAUUAACUCUGUGGGAAGCAAGACCGCCGGUAUGGUGGAGUCGAACAUCGGGCACAAGUCAGUAUCAACGACAAGUGACCCGGAAAAGGAAGUGCGGCUUGUCACCACAGCCCCUCCGAUCAGCUUCCACAACCACCACCCGCUGCUUGAGGAGUUCAUUCACGAGACCCUGCUGAAGAGAGACUUCCUGGGGCAGGAGCAUUUCUUCAGUGCUGGGGCGGAGACCUCAAACCCGACAACGAACCAGGUGACGAGCGAUGACCCCCCGGUGUCCUCUGACAUCGUCACGACAACCUCCAUGGCGACCACGUCGCCCAUGAUGACCGCGCCAACCACGGCUGAGGCUGCGGCAGUUUCCGUGGCUCAAAAUGUUGCCGUGAAAGAGGAAGUGGGAACUCCGGAGAUGGAGAUGGAGAAGGAGAGGGUAGCUGUUACCACAGACUCUUUAAACACGGCAGUCAUAAAGACGACCACCCUCGACCACCAGGGCGGCGUAUUUCAAAACAGCCACCAGCCAGUCUUUACUACCCAGCCGACCCCUGUGCUCACAACAAGCCCGGCAGAGCCCAAUCCAGAGCAGGUAUCCAUGGUGACCAGCAACACACCAACAGCCCUGGCAGGGACCACCAGAACAGAGGUGCAAGAGCCAAUCACUGAGCGAGGCGUCGGGACAGCCAGUGAGGUCACAACAAUGACAUCAUCAUCGGGAGACACUGACGAGGAGACAACCACCACCACUAUCAUCACUACCACCAUCAUAACCACCGUGCAGACACCAGUUCCGUGCAGUUCCAAUUUCACAGGCCCCGAGGGCUACAUUGAGUCCCCACGAUACUCCAGUCUCCUGUACUACACUAAUCUGGACUGCAGCUACGCUGUAACUGUCUUCAUGGGAUAUGGAGUGGAAAUUCAGGUCCUGAACGUGAGCUUGCUGGAAGGGGAGACGGUCACUCUGGAGGACCUGGGAGGGCAGGAGCCGGCCGUCCUGGCCAACGAGUCCAUCCUGAUGAAGGGGCUAGUGGUGCGGAGCUGGAGCAACCAAGUGGCAGUCUGCUUCCAGAGCUUCCAGCUCCCCCACGCUGGGUCCUUUCACUUUCAAUACCAAGCGUACAUGCUGAGCUGUGGAUUUCCCCAGAGACCGGCCUACGGGGAUGUGACGGUCAGCAGCCUCCACCCUGGAGGAGAGGCCUAUUUCUACUGUUACACAGGCUACCAGCUCCAGGGCAAGUCCACACUCACCUGCCUCAACGCUACCACCCCCCUCUGGAGUGGCAAGGAACCGCAGUGUCUGGCUGCCUGCGGAGGAGUCAUCAGGAACGCGACGGUGGGCCGGAUUGUGUCUCCUGGCUUCCCCGGGAACUACAGCAACAAUCUGACCUGCCACUGGGUGAUUGAGGCUCCGGACGGAGAGAGACUGCACAUCCACUUUGAGAAGGUCGCCCUGGCAGAGGAUGACGACAGACUCUUAAUCAAAAACGGGGACAACAUCGACUCUCCUCCGGUUUACGACUCCUAUGAAGUGGAAUACCUGCCUAUCGAGGGGCUGGUGAGCGGAGAGAGACACUUCUUCAUAGAGCUCACUACCGACGGCUCUGUAGCCUCCACCGGCGUGGCUCUGAGAUACGAAGCCUUCGCACCGGGGCACUGCUACGAGCCCUUUGUGAAGUACGGGAACUACUCCACAAGCGACGCUGCGUAUCCCGUGGGCACGGUGGUGGAGUUCGGCUGCGAGCCGGGCUACACGCUGGAGCAGGGCUCUGUGAUCAUCGAGUGCGUGGACAUGAGCGACCCGCAGUGGAACGAGACGGAGCCCGCGUGCAGAGCUGUCUGCAGCGGGGAGAUCACAGAUUCAGCUGGAGUGGUUCUCUCUCCCAAUUGGCCGGAAGCCUACGAUAAGGGUCAGGACUGUAUUUGGGGAAUUCACGUCGAGGAAGACAAGAGAAUCAUGUUGGACAUCCGAGUAUUGCAUGUGGGCAAGAAUGACGUGCUGACGUUCUACGAUGGGGAUGACCUCACAGCGAUGAUCCUGGGCCAGUACUCGGGCCACCGCGGCCGCUUCAAACUCUACACCUCCAUGGCAGACGUCACCAUUCAGUUCCAGUCCGACCCGGCCAGCAACGUGUUCGGCUUCCAGAACGGGUUCGUCAUCCACUUCUUUGAGGUCCCGCGGAACGACACGUGUCCGGAGCUCCCCGAGAUCGCCAACGGCUGGAAGACCACGUCGCACCCGGAGCUCAUCCACGGCACGGUGGUGACCUACCAGUGCUACCCAGGCUUCGACGUGGUGGGCACCGAGAUCCUCAUGUGCCAGUGGGACCUGACCUGGAGCGGGGAUCUGCCCAGCUGUGAGAAGGUGACAACCUGCUCGGACCCUGGCGAUGUGGACCACAGCCGGAGAGUGCUGUCCAUGAACAAGUUCAGCGUGGGCUCCACCGUGCAGUACAUCUGCAACAAGGGCUACCAGCUGUCAGGGAACAGCCUCCUCACCUGCUACCCCCACGACUCCAGCGGCCCCAAGUGGAGCGAGAGGCUGCCCAAGUGCAUGCCUGAGACGUACGAGCCCUGCCGGAACCCAGGCGCCCCCUCGUUCAGCAUCCAAACUGCAGAGAAGCGCUUCUACCAGACGGGGGAGACACUGAGGUUCUCGUGCUACAACGGCUACCAGCUCGUCGGGGAGGCCACCAUCAGGUGCAUCCCUGGACACCCGUCUCAGUGGAGCAGCCCGCCCCCAGCCUGCAAAGCUUCCAACUCGGAGUAUUUGAAUGAGCGCAGAUUAGAUGUUGCCAAGGAGUCUUCAGACAGCCCCAUGGAGGGGACCAGUAUCGCCAUGACGAUCUUCAUCCCCCUUAUCAUCGUAGCUUUCGUCGUUGUGGGAAUAUACCUCUACUUCUCAAAGGUGCAAAGGAAGUCUCUCCGGCUGCCGCUGCCAAACUCCCACCCGUACAACCACAUCACGGGGGAGUCUGCGUUCGACAAUCCCAUCUAUGAGACUGGAGUGAGUACCGAAUCCAUGCAGAUGAGGGAUGUGGAUUCACAGAACACUAUCGUGCUCACCUGACUGCCCCCUCCCCGCAUCAUCAUCAUCAUCAUCCACCACCUCCCUCCACCACUGAACAAGACAGACACAAGAGAAUACGAAGUUUCCAUUUAGAGACGAGAAGAAAAAAAAAGAAGAAUAAAAGCCUUUUUGCCUUGUGGAAACUUCUCAGCACCUUUCAAGUGCUCUGCUGUCACCUGACUCCUCUGCUCCCCUCCUCCUGCUCCACAGCCCCUCCCCUCUCCUGUACAUACUGGACUCUUCAGCAUCAGACUAGGACUUCCACAAGCAUUUCCAGGGAGGGGUGCCAGUGAAAUGUUCUGCUUUGGUAGAGGGAGUUUCAAUGGUGGUGUAUAGACGCAGAAUCCUGUGUGUGCUUUUGAGUGAGAUCCUGUGAUUCAAUAAUACAAUUCUUACCUAAUUAAAGAAUGAUAGACGAUGCCACCACAAGGCAGCAUGGGAUAACCAAUCCAAUGCAACAACUUGACUAAAUCACAAGUGAAUGCAUGCUAUUGAAUUGACUGAGCGUGUUACCCUGUUUGGGACGUUCCCACAAAUUAAAUUAGAAAAGAAAAAUGUGAACACAUCCCAUUCUGCCUUGUGGUCAAACAAUGCUGUUCAUAUCUUCACCCACAUCGCUGCUGAAGUGUCCUGUGUAAUUAAUCCUGCCCCACAAUGACUGCAGAGUGCCAGGUUAGUACAGGGGAUCACUGAACACUGAAAGCACAGCAGAUUCCAGGUUCCAUGUGCGUGGCAGCUGACCCAUCUGGAAUGACAUCACACAGCUUGGUUUUGUUAAUAUAUUUUGGGUCAGAUUGAAGUCUUCCGCACUAUUUAAAAAUAAAAAGAAUACAAAUGAAAUUGCUUUAAAAUGUAUUGCAUCCAUGCACGAACAGCAUUUCUGAGGCUAUUGCUAGAUUUGAAGCAUUGACAGGUUUUGAUGUCAUAGGUUUCAGAGCAAAAGCUUAGCAAAACUGGUAUGUUUGAUCAUUCACUUUACGAGCCAACAGCGCAGGAAAGCAUUUCUCAAGAGUACACCUCAAAACGAAAGACUGCCAGCUAGAUAGAGUCGAAAGGUCCAAGCUUGCUUUUCUACCCAUCUGUUACUUCUACUGUCCCUGUAAAUAAAUGAAUAUUCUGUAUUUUAGAGUUAAUAGCUACAGACCCCACACGUGGAAUAGUCAUGAUUAGUACAAUGUGUAACUCUGUGUUAUCCAGUGUUUAUAUGGUUUAAAGUUGUGCUCACUGGGAUAAGCUCUUUUCAAAGGGGUACCUGCAUGGCGUACGGCUGUCAAGUUAUUUCAAACUCUAUAUGCUUUAAAGAUGAAACCGUGAGAAGAAGGUACCUCUACGAUGUCACCACGCUGAACUGAAGUUAUGCGGCCCUGCUUGCGUUCACUAGCCUCUUAACCAAAUGCCAAGUGCAGUAUGAUUUUACACAUGUAUCCGCUGCACACUUGAACUCUGUUGUUUGAUUGGAAAGCUGUAAUGUAUGUACAGUCCUGUCCUAAUUAGGCAUAAGGCACAGCUUAGCACAGCAUGGAUGACAUCGUUUCCAAUCAGAAACAAAAGAUCCAGCCAAAAGGAGGAAUGCAAAAAACCUGCAAAGCAUCCAAAUGAAAAUAAAGCAGAAUGGAAAUACGCAUUCCAGAAAGCAUUUCACAUUGAGUUGCAAUGAUAGCCUCCUCAUCAUCAGCAACACAGUAAGAGAUGAGUGCUCAGGAGAGGGUGAUUAGACGUGUGCUCAGGAGAGGGUGAUUAGACGUGUGCUCAGGAGAGGGUGAUUAGACGUGUGUUAAGGAGAGGGUGAUCAGACGUGUGCUCAGGAGAGGGUGAUUAGACGUGUGCUCAGGAGAGGGUGAUUAGUCCUCUCAGGUUGCAAUGCUGGAUUCUGUCAGGCCUGAGACACAGCUCAGAGUGUGUUCCACUGAUGAGUGUGAUUGUCCCAGCACAGCUGAUUCAGUGGACAAUGCAACAGGAUUAGCAGGGUUUGGAGGCAGCGCUAGUCAGU